rnacentral:rRNA from 1 species
AUUGAACGCUGGCGGCAGGCCUAACACAUGCAAGUCGAGCGGAGCGGCGGACGGGCGAGUAAUGCCUAGGAAUCUGCCUUGUCUUGGGGGAUAACGUCCGGAAACGGGCGCUAAUACCGCAUACUCUCUGAUGCGCCUAGGUCGGAUUAGCUAGGUGGUGGGGUAAAGGCCUACCAAGGCGACGAUCCGUAACUGGUCUGAGAGGAUGAUCCGUCACAAUGGAACUGAGACACGGUCCAGACUCCUACGUGAGGCAGCAGUGGGGAAUAUUGUACAAUGGGCGAAAGCCUGAUCCAGCCAUGCCGCGUGUGUGAAGAAGGUCUUCGGAUUGUAAAGCACUUUAAGUUGGGAGGCGUUACCAACAGAAUAAGCAACGGCGAACGUCGUGCCAGCAGCCGCGGUAAUAC